rnacentral:tRNA from 1 species
GGGGUUGUGGCUCAGAGGGAGAGCGCUCGUCUAGCAUAUGUGAGGCACUGGGUUCAAUCCUCAGCACCACA